UGAAGCCCACAGCUUGCUGUGGGUGGAUGAGUGGCGAACGGGUGAGUAACACGUGAGUAACCUGCCCCCGACUUCGGGAUAAGCCCGGGAAACUGGGUCUAAUACCGGAUAUGACUCUCGAAGGCAUGUUUGGUUGUGGAAAGUUUUUUCGGUUGAGGAUGGGCUCGCGGCCUAUCAGUUUGUUGGUGAGGUAAUGGCUCACCAAGACGACGACGGGUAGCCGGCCUGAGAGGGCGACCGGCCACACUGGGACUGAGACACGGCCCAGACUCCUACGGGAGGCAGCAGUGGGGAAUAUUGCACAAUGGGGGAAACCCUGAUGCAGC
rnacentral:rRNA from 1 species